rnacentral:lncRNA from 1 species
GGAAAAUUCUGCAGUUGACCUUAUAAGGGGUUUGCUGUUGAGGUGGAGGUGCACAAAAAAUAUUGUAUAAAACUACCUUGAGACCAUGUGUUUUGGCUUGGGUCCUGUCCCAAAUAUAUUUCAUUAUAUAUAUAUGCAAAUAUUCCAAAGUAUGAAAAAAUCUGAAAUUCAAAACACUUCUGGUCUCAAGCAGUUUUGGAUAAGGGAUACUUAACCUAUAGUCUCUUAAAUUAUGUUUGAGCUAGUUGGAGUAAGGAUUGAUCUCUGGGCCAAGAUAACUUUAUCAAGAAAAAUUCCACUUUGUGAGCAUUCCUUUCCAUAUGGCCAGCCUUCCUUCCUAUAUGGCCAGAUUGUGAUGGUUAGCUUUUGCUACGACAAUACUACAUAACAAAGAGAUCUAAAACAAUUCCAUACUUGCAGGUCAGCAGGGAUCUGGCUGGUCUGGGCUUAGUCAGACAGCCCUACUUCAGGUUACAGCACCUAGAGCAGUUUUGUCAUACUACAAAUCUAUCAACGGACUGAGGCAGCUCUGCUCCAUGUUUGUGGACCAGUAGGAUAUCUGAGGUAUGUGCCUACAACAAAGUGUAGAGAAGAAAGAGAACAAAUAAAAAUAUGUGAAGCUUUUACUGGCCUACACUCAGAAAGUUCUGGCUGGUUCUGUUGGCCAAAGAAGUCAAACACAUGGUUACACACAAAAUCAAGGGCAUCCUCUGCCUCUUUAGUAAGAGAAACUAUAAUGUCAGGGUAAAGGGUAUGUGUACUGGGAGAUGUGAAGAACUAAAGUCAUUAUUGUAAUAUACCACACUUGGUUGACUGUAAACCAUAACAAUGUUCAAUUUGGACCAAAGUCAGUGUUAUGGUUUUAUAUAAGGUGUCCUCCAAAAGUUUAUGUAUGAUGAAACAAUUCAAGAAGGCUUAGAAAUGAAAUGAUUGCAUUAUUGGAACCUUAACCCAAUCAGUGAGUUAAUCCCCUGAUAAGGAUUAAUUGAGUGGUAACUGAAGACAGGUAGGGUGGGCAUUGGGGGCAUGCCUCUGGGGUAUAUAUUUUAUAUCUGCUGAGUGGAGUCCCCCUUCUCUUUCCCCCCUUCCUGAUCAUCAUAUGAGCCCCUUCCUUUUGCCAUACUCUUCCACCAUGAUGUUCUACCUCACCUGCAGCCCUGAGGUAUGGAGCUGGCUGUCUAUGGACUGAGAUCUCUGAAACCAUGAACCCCAAGUAAACUUUUCCUCCUCUAAAAUUGUUCUUGUUAGGUGUUUUAACCACAGCAGUGAAAAAGCUGACUAAAACAGUAAGGUUAUCAAAGGGAAAACUCAGGACACAAUUAUUUGGAGCAAAAAGAUAGUUUCUUUAAGUUGUAAAAAAAAAAAUGC